CACUUUUGCUGAUACAGCAGUGGUGAGAGCAAGUCAAAGGUCUGAGUUCAGUGUCCUCUCGGCAAAUGGACAACUUGUCAAUUCUAGUAAUCUACAGGUUAGCCUGAAAUAGAUGAGAAGCUCACCCUCUUCUCUGAGUUGCUGAAGCUCUUCCUUAUGGCUGACUAAUGUGUGUGCAUAUAUGGAGCUUUCUGAGCAAGCACUUAUAUCCAUUUGGAAGAAAAAGAAUUGCGGCAUACUGAAUACUUUGGGGAUCCAAAUCAGGUUGCUAUUUUGUGUGUAUUUAGGAAUCAAAGAAGUCAGAAAUGGAAGAAAACUAUCAGAGUUUGUCAUCUGGCCACAACCUUUGUAAAUGCAACAAAUUCUUCUCCAAGAGAGGCUGCAAAUAGAAGGCAACAACUACUGAAACAUUAUCAUUACAUUCCCAGAAACUAAUUGCAGAGUUGAAUAACUUUGCACUGACUUCAGUGAUGCCCUGCAACCUUCAGUCUUCAUCACUUUGUUUACAUGCCACGAUCUUCUGACAUAGCCAUGGGACAUCCUGCCUGCAGGUGACAGUGCCCUGUGCUUCAGCCACAUUCCUACCCUCCACCUGUGGCUCUUUCCCAUGUGGGAAAUAUCUCACAACAUCAUGAGCCCAAUGGAGAAGCAGAAUGUUGUGAUGGAUCUGAAAGCUUUCUGUCAGGUUUCUGAUUAAAAAAAAAAAAAAGACAGAUCUUUCCAAAGCUCCUAAAUGCUAGCAGAGGAAAUGCAGAGGAUUUGCCAACAGAUUUGUACUCAGUUGCUGAGCCUGGUUGUUGUCACUGGACUUGCUCUUUGGCUCAGGUAGUGUGGAACAACCCCUUUAGGUGAGGCUUCAGUGUAGAAACCAGUGUGAGUUAUAAAACAAGUAACUGCUCUGCUGAACAUGCAAUCCAGGCAGGAUUUGGCAGAUGCCUUCAGGUAUAUAUAAUGGUUUUUGUGACUGGGGAAAAAAGAUCAAGUUGUGAAUUAAAGUAGCUGAAAUAACUGCUUUUAUUCAUGAAAGCACUCAAAAAUAAUUCAAAUUUUGUUUU